AGUGAAUAGAUACCCUGGUAGUCCCAGCCGUAAACGAUGCUCGCUAGGUGUCAGGCAUGGCGCGACCGUGUCUGGUGCCGCAGGGAAGCCGUGAAGCGAGCCACCUGGGAAGUACGGCCGCAAGGCUGAAACUUAAAGGAAUUGGCGGGGGAGCACAACAACGGGUGGAGCCUGCGGUUUAAUUGGACUCAACGCCGGACAACUCACCGGGGGGCGACAGCAAUAUGUAGGCCAAGCUGAAGACUUUGCCUGAAUCGCUGAGAGGAGGUGCAUGGCCGUCGCCAGUUCGUACUGUGAAGCAUCCUGUUAAGUCAGGCAACGAGCGAGACCCGUGCCCACUGUUACCAGCAUGUCCUCCGGGACAUGGGUACUCUGUGGGGACCGCCUAUGUUAAAUAGGAGGAAGGUGCGGGCCACGGUAGGUCAGUAUGCCCCGAAUCUCCGGGCUACACGCGGGCUACAAUGGAUGGGACAAUGGGUCCCUACUCCGAAAGGAGCUGGUAAUCUCACAAACCCAUUCGUAGUUCGGAUCGAGGGC
rnacentral:rRNA from 1 species